rnacentral:lncRNA from 15 species
AUGGAUGACAUGACCACUCUGACCACUACUGCAGCAUGUACCAGGCAGCUACUUGGAAAACUGCAGGAGAACAUCAAGUGGGCCCGGAUGAAAAUCAAGCCGAACAAAUCACGAAGCAUUUCAAUAGUCAAGGCACAGCUUAAAAAUGUGAAGUUCUGCAUUGGUGACGACCCAGUACCAACAGUGUCUGAGCAACCUGUCAAAAGCCUGGGCAGAUGGUACAACGCAAGCCUCAGAGACAAAGACCAAGUGCUGCAAGUAAGACAGGACAUUACCAACAGUCUGGAAAAAAUCAACAAGACCCAACUGCCAGGGAAGCUCAAGCUCUGGUGCCUGCAAUUUGGACUCCUCCCUUGGGUAAUGUGGCCACUCACUAUCUAUGAGCUCCCAAUAACAACUGUGCAGAAGAUGGAGCGAACCAUGACUUCAUACGUGAAGAAAUGGCUCGGCGUCCCACGCUGUCUGACUAACAUCAGCCUCUACGGCAAAGGGGCCCUUGAACUGCCUAUCACAAGCCUCACCGAAGAGUACAAGUGCUCUAGAGUAAGACUCCAGAUGACUUUGAAGGACUCCAGAGCCCAGACCAUCAGCAAUGCUGCUCCACCCCUGAAAACUGGAUGGAAAUGGACAACAUCCGACGCGGUGGAGCAUGCUACGUCAGCCCUGAGACACAGCGACAUUGUUGGGCACGUCCAGUUGGGAAGAGGCGGCUUUGGCCUUACAGCAAGUAAGCCAACUUGGUGUAAGGCCUCAACAUCAGAGAGGAGGAAAAUGGUGGUGGAGGAGGUGCGCCGUCAGGAAAAAAGAAGCGCAAAGGCUGUCUCUCUUGUCAGGCAGGGACAAUGGAUGAUGUGGGAAGGCCUGGAGAGGAUAAAGCUCAGCUGGAGGGAGCUCUGGGAAAUGGAGGCAAGGAACAUCAGCUUCAUCAUCAGAGUCACCAAUGAUGUGCUCAAGUCUCCAAAAACCUCCAUCAGUGCUAUGGCAAGGACCCAAAAUGUGCCCUCUGCCCAACUCCAGCAACUCUCAAACACAUCUUGA